rnacentral:rRNA from 1 species
CCGAUACUAAGGACUACCAUGCAGUCGGACGGUAGCAAGCAGAAGCGAGCUUGCUCCUUCGCGUGACGAGUGGCGGACGGGUGAGUAAUGUCUGGGAAACUGCCCGAUGGAGGGGGAUAACUACUGGAAACGGUAGCUAAUACCGCAUAACGUCGCAAGACCAAAGUGGGGGACCUUCGGGCCUCUUGCCAUCGGAUGUGCCCAGAUGGGAUUAGCUAGUAGGUGGGGUAACGGCUCACCUAGGCGACGAUCCCUAGCUGGUCUGAGAGGAUGACCAGCCACACUGGAACUGAGACACGGUCCAGACUCCUACGGGAGGCAGCAGUGGGGAAUAUUGCACAAUGGGCGCAAGCCUGAUGCAGCCAUGCCGCGUGUAUGAAGAAGGCCUUCGGGUUGUAAAGUACUUUCAGCGGGGAGGAAGGCGGUGAGGUUAAUAACCUUGCCGAUUGACGUUACCCGCAGAAGAAGCACCGGCUAACUCCGUGCCAGCAGCCGCGGUAAUACGGAGGGUGCAAGCGUUAAUCGGAAUUACUGGGCGUAAAGCGCACGCAGGCGGUCUGUCAAGUCAGAUGUGAAAUCCCCGGGCUCAACCUGGGAACUGCAUCUGAAACUGGCAGGCUUGAGUCUCGUAGAGGGGGGUAGAAUUCCAGGUGUAGCGGUGAAAUGCGUAGAGAUCUGGAGGAAUACCGGUGGCGAAGGCGGCCCCCUGGACGAAGACUGACGCUCAGGUGCGAAAGCGUGGGGAGCAAACAGGAUUAGAUACUUUUGGUAGUCCU